GCAUUAUCUGAUGAUGGAACAGUGCGUCUAUGAUGGGAAUAGGAGCAGGCAGUAGUCUAUAGGUUUGGUGUGGGAGUGAGAGCCUGGGAAGUUGAAGGUUAGCAUGCAGGAAGGACACUCCAAUCCACAGUAACUGCAGCAGUCUUCACUUUCUUCCUGUUCCUGAUCCCCUAGCCCAUGUGAUCUGCUGGGGGCGGGGCCUCUUCUCCCAGCCCUCCACUCACAGGAGGAGGAUUCAGAAGGAGGAGGAGCCUGCUGCAAGGGAAAGGGCCCCUGUGAGUCAGUGCAGGAGUCCUCAUACACCUACCUGCAGGACGGGUUUGCCCACUCUGUCUGUCACUGACCAGCAUGGAGGAGAUGCAGUCAUCCAUCCAUCCCUGUAAACUGGGUGGCUCACCUUACUAAACCACUACUGUCAGCACUCAGGAGGAACUUAAACCUAUGAAGGUAUGUGUCCUCUGUGGGGGUCACAGGGGCCAUUCUGGCCACUGUUGCGUUUUCUCAGCUGUCUGGAUCAGUGGGUUCAAGUUAUUCAUGCCUACCAGACCCACCACCAGCCUCCGGCCUAGUUCUUCAUCCUUCGUUGAUCAGGUUGAAUUUGAAGACACAAGUCAUGUUCUUGCUUCAUUCGUGACUUGGUCCUGCUCCAGUUUCAUCAUCCAUGCAGCGUCCUGCCUCCCGGAGCUGCUCGGUAGUGAAUUUAAUUCCCAGCCGGUACUCUCGCAGUACAGACAGAUGGACGCCCCCAUGCUACAGUACUACCAGCCGUUACCAUGGUAACGUAGGCAGAUGACUCAGCAGAGAUUGCAGCUGUGUGUGAAAGGAUGAAAGGUGUAAUCCUCUCGACCGACCGACUGACUGUCCCUCGCUGUCAGUCCCAGAGAUGGGGACACAAGCACACACACGCACAUGUGCACGCAUACAGACACAUUAAAGGACAUUUGUUACCCAGA
rnacentral:lncRNA from 1 species